rnacentral:rRNA from 1 species
UACGUAGGGUGCAAGCGUUGUUCGGAAUUACUGGGCGUAAAGGGAGUGUAGGCGGAGUCAUAAGUUAGGAGUUUAAUCUACCGGCUCAACUGGUGGUCUGCUUUUAAUACUGUGAUUCUUGAGUAUGGGAGAGGGCGAUGGAAUUCCAGGUGUAGCGGUGGAAUGCGUAGAUAUCUGGAAGAACACCAGUAGCGAAGGCGGUCGCCUGGCCCAAUACUGACGCUGAGGCUCGAAAGCUAGGGGAG